rnacentral:rRNA from 1 species
GGCCACUGCUAUUGGGGUCCGACUAAGCCAUGCGAGUCUAUGGGCUUUUGCCCAUGGCGGACGGCUCAGUAACACGUGGCUAACCUACCCUCGGGUGGGGGAUAACCUCGGGAAACUGAGGAUAAUCCCCCAUAGGGGAAGAGGUCUGGAAUGAUUCUUCCCCGAAAGCAUAUGCGCCCGAGGAUGGGGCUGCGGCCGAUUAGGUAGUUGGUGGGGUAACGGCCCACCAAGCCUACGAUCGGUACGGGCCCUGAGAGGGGGAGCCCGGAGAUGGGGACUGAGACACGGCCCCAGGCCCUACGGGGCGCAGCAGGCGCGAAACCUCCGCAAUGCGCGAAAGCGCGACGGGGGGACCCCAAGUGCCCAUGCACUGCAUGGGCUUUUCCGGAGUGUAAACAGCUCCGGGAAUAAGGGCUGGGCAAGUCCGGUGCCAGCAGCCGCGGUAAUACCGGCAGCCCAAGUGGUGGCCACUUUUAUUGGGCCUAAAGCGUCCGUAGCCGGCCCAGUAAGUCCCUGCUUAAAUCCUACGGCUUAACCGUAGGACUGGCAGGGAUACUGCUGGGCUUGGGACCGGGAGAGGGCAGGGGUACUCCGGGGGUAGCGGUGAAAUGUGUUGAUCCCCGGAGGACCACCUAUGGCGAAGGCACCUGCCUGGAACGGGUCCGACGGUGAGGGACGAAAGCCAGGGGAGCGAACCGGAUUAGAUACCCGGGUAGUCCUGGCCGUAAACGCUGCGGACUAGGUGUCGGGUAGGCCUUGUGCCUACCCGGUGCCGAAGGGAAGCCGUUAAGUCCGCCGCCUGGGGAGUACGGUCGCAAGACUGAAACUUAAAGGAAUUGGCGGGGGAGCACUACAACGGGUGGAGCCUGCGGUUUAAUUGGAUUCAACGCCGGGCAUCUUACCAGGGGCGACGGCAGGAUGAAGGCCAGGUUGACGACCUUGCCAGACGCGCCGAGAGGUGGUGCAUGGCCGUCGUCAGCUCGUACCGUGAGGCGUCCUGUUAAGUCAGGUAACGAGCGAGACCCGCGCCCCAUGUUGCCAUCCUUCCCUCUGGGGGAGAGGCACUCAUGGGGGACCGCUGGCGCUAAGCCAGAGGAAGGAGCGGGCAACGACAGGUCCGCAUGCCCCGAAUCCCUGGGCUACACGCGGGCUACAAUGGCUGGGACAUGGG